AAGUUGUAACAAGGUUUCCGUAGGUGAACCUGCGGAAGGAUCAUUAACAAAUCCAUGGUAUUCUUGAACAUCCCUAAUGGGGGUUUGAGAAGAACAUAAACUCGCUCGGUGUGAAAGCAUCGGGUGCUGUAUAUUAAUGUAUGUUGUGUAGACAAAGUGUGUGAUACAAAAAAUAAAUGACAACUUUUAACAAUGGAUCUCUAGGCUCUU
rnacentral:misc_RNA from 1 species